rnacentral:rRNA from 1 species
GACGAACGCUGGCGGCGUGCUUAACACAUGCAAGUCGAACGGAAAGGCCCUGCUUUUGUGGGGUGCUCGAGUGGCGAACGGGUGAGUAACACGUGAGUAACCUGCCCUUGACUUUGGGAUAACUUCAGGAAACUGGGGCUAAUACCGGAUAGGAGCUCCUGCUGCAUGGUGGGGGUUGGAAAGUUUCGGCGGUUGGGGAUGGACUCGCGGGUUAUCAGCUUGUUGGUGGGGUAGUGGCUUACCAAGGCUUUGACGGGUAGCCGGCCUGAGAGGGUGACCGGCCACAAUGCGACUGAGAGACGGAGCAGACUCGUACGGGAGGCAGCAGUGGGGAAUAUUGCACAGUGGGCGGAAGCCUGAUGCAGCGGCGCCGCGUGCGGGAUGACGGCCUUCGGGUUGUAAACCGCUUUCGCCUGUGACGAAGCGUGAGUGACGGUACUGGGUAAAGAAGCACCGGCUAACUACGUG